rnacentral:rRNA from 1 species
CUGGGAGGACCAUCUCCUAAGGCUAAAUACUCUCUAGUGACCGAUAGUGAACCAGUACCGUGAGGGAAAGGUGAAAAGCACCCCGGAAGGGGAGUGAAAUAGAACCUGAAACCGUGUGCUUACAAGUAGUCAGAGCCCGUUAAUGGGUGAUGGCGUGCCUUUUGUAGAAUGAACCGGCGAGUUACGAUUUGAUGCAAGGUUAAGCAGUAAAUGUGGAGCCGUAGCGAAAGCGAGUCUGAAUAGGGCGUUUAGUAUUUGGUCGUAGACCCGAAACCAGGUGAUCUACCCUUGGUCAGGUUGAAGUUCAGGUAACACUGAAUGGAGGACCGAACCGACUUACGUUGAAAAGUGAGCGGAUGAACUGAGGGUAGCGGAGAAAUUCCAAUCGAACCUGGAGAUAGCUGGUUCUCUCCGAAAUAGCUUUAGGGCUAGCCUCAAGUGAUGAUUAUUGGAGGUAGAGCACUGUUUGGACGAGGGGCCCCUCUCGGGUUACCGAAUUCAGACAAACUCCGAAUGCCAAUUAAUUUAACUUGGGAGUCAGAACAUGGGUGAUAAGGUCCGUGUUCGAAAGGGAAACAGCCCAGACCACCAGCUAAGGUCCCAAAAUAUAUGUUAAGUGGAAAAGGAUGUGGCGUUGCCCAGACAACUAGGAUGUUGGCUUAGAAGCAGCCAUCAUUUAAAGAGUGCGUAAUAGCUCACUAGUCGAGUGACACUGCGCCGAAAAUGUACCGGGGCUAAACAUAUUACCGAAGCUGUGGAUUGUCCUUUGGACAAUGGUAGGAGAGCGUUCUAAGGGCGUUGAAGCAUGAUCGUAAGGACAUGUGGAGCGCUUAGAAGUGAGAAUGCCGGUGUGAGUAGCGAAAGACGGGUGAGAAUCCCGUCCACCGAUUGACUAAGGUUUCCAGAGGAAGGCUCGUCCGCUCUGGGUUAGUCGGGUCCUAA